AUAGCCGGCAGCAAUAAUUUUGCCAAAAUAAGUGGAAUUUUUUUUCACAAGUAGUCUUAUAUAUGGAGAAGAUUUUCAUAUUGGACUUAUUUAAGAAGCAAAGAAACCAUCACAUCAGCUCCUCUCUGAAGCAGAAAUCUAGAUGUUAACCCUAAGAGAUGACAAAAAUCUACUUUGGAAGUACUCUGUCAAGACCUGAGUCCUCAUGAAAGAGAGAAAGAAGUCAAAUUACAUGUUUAUAAUGUCUUUUGAGAGUCUUCUGUAUCUCCAGAAAGAAAGCCUCAUUUGGAAAAAAAAUACGUAUUUAUAAUCACACAUAUAAAUUCUGUUAUGUAUCCACAAUGUGCUGGAAAAAUUUUCUGACAAGUGAUUUUGUUUCCCUCAGUUCUCCAUAACUUUAAUAAAGUGAUCUAUCUAAACCCCAA